rnacentral:lncRNA from 1 species
CUGGCCUUCUUGUUCCUUUGAGGUUUUAGAGCACCACACCAGAUUCUACAUAAAUUAGUGUACUCAGCCUAAAAAUGUUCAUCUAUCCUUAAGGUAUAUGCAUAAGUGGUAUGUUACAUAAUUAUAACAAAUUAAUUCAUCAUAGAUCAAAAAUUCAUCAUAGAUAAAAAAUGUCAUUGAUAAAUUAGAUUGACAGCCUAGGAACAAAGUCUUUCUCAUCAUAGAAUAAGGAAAAUAUGCAAUUUCAUAUCUAGCGUAAUCACUUUGGGUGCACAAGAUCUAAGUAUACAUCA